rnacentral:rRNA from 1 species
UACGUAGGGUGCAAGCGUUAAUCGGAAUACUGGGCGUAAAGCGUGCGCAGGCGGUGAUGUAAGACAGUUGUGAAAUCCCCGGGCUCAACCUGGGAACUGCAUCUGUGACUGCAUCGCUGGAGUGCGGCAGAGGGGGAUGGAAUUCCGCGUGUAGCAGUGAAAUGCGUAGAUAUGCGGAGGAACACCGAUGGCGAAGGCAAUCCCCUGGGCCUGCACUGACGCUCAUGCACGAAAGCGUGGGAGCAACAGG